rnacentral:rRNA from 1 species
GACGGACGGUGCAAGCGUUGCUCGGAAUCACUGGGCGUAAAGGGUGCGUAGGCGGCUUGGUAGGUCUGGUGUGAAAGCCCCGGGCUCAGCCCGGGAAGGGCACUAGAAACUGCCAAGCUAGAGUGCCGGAGGGGAGAGUGGAAUUCCUGGUGUAGCGGUGAAAUGCGCAGAUAUCAGGAGGAACACCGGUGGCGAAGGCGGCUUGCUGGGCCUUACCUGACGCUGAGGAGCGAAAGCGUGGGGAGCGAACAGG